ACACCUCAACUCUCAUGGUUUGCCAUGAUGAGCUUGGACUUUGGGGGUCUUGCUGGCCUAUGGUUGGCUCCUCUCAAAUGAAUCAGCUUGCCAGUGUUUGGUGGCAUCACAGGUGUGAUAAAUAUCUACGCUUGCGGUGUUCUGCCAGGUAACCUUCAGAGAUGGGGGUUCACUGGGGCUUACAAAAGGUCUCUCCUCAGUGAGGACAGCUCUUUGAAU
rnacentral:misc_RNA from 1 species